CAAUAGCGUAUACUAAAGUUGUUGCAGUUAAAAAGCUCGUAGUUGGAUUUGUGGCGUACGGUGGGUUCCGGGCACUUGUUGUCUGAGUAACUUGCUGUUGCCAUCCUUGGGUGGAACCUGUGUGGCAUUAGGUUGUCGUGCAGGGGAUGCCCAUCAUUUACUGUGAAAAAAUUAGAGUGUUCAAAGCAGGCUUAUGCCGUUGAAUAUAUUAGCAUGGAAUAAUGAGAUAGGACUUUUUUGCUAUUUUGUUGGUUUGCGCAAAGAGGUAAUGAUUAAUAGGGACAGUUGGGGGUAUUCGUAUUCCAUUGUCAGAGGUGAAAUUCUUGGAUUUUUGGAAGACGAACUACUGCGAAAGCAUUUACCAAGGAUGUUUUCAUUAA
rnacentral:rRNA from 1 species